CCAUAGCUUGGUGGGAGAGCAUCUGCUUUGCAUGCAGAAGGUCCCAGGUUCAAUCCCCAGUAUCUCUGA